ACAUCCAGCGAAUUCGGUAGAGAUACCUUAGUGCCUUCGGGAACGCUGAGACAGGUGCUGCAUGGCUGUCGUCAGCUCGUGUUGUGAAAUGUUGGGUUAAGUCCCGCAACGAGCGCAACCCUUUAUCCUUUGUUGCCAGCGGUCCGGCCGGGAACUCAAAGGAGACUGCCAGUGAUAAACUGGAGGAAGGUGGGGAUGACGUCAAGUCAUCAUGGCCCUUACGAGUAGGGCUACACACGUGCUACAAUGGCGCAUACAAAGAGAAGCGACCUCGCGAGAGCAAGCGGACCUCAUAAAGUGCGUCGUAGUCCGGAUUGGAGUCUGCAACUCGACUCCAUGAAGUCGGAAUCGCUAGUAAUCGUAGAUCAGAAUGCUACGGUGAAUACGUUCCCGGGCCUUGUACACACCGCCCGUCACACCAUGGGAGUGGGUUGCAAAAGAAGUAGGUAGCUUAACCUUCGGGAGGGCGCUUACCACUUUGUGAUUCAUGACUGGGGUGAAGUCGUAACAAGGUAGGCGUAGCGAG
rnacentral:rRNA from 1 species